AAUAAUUUUUUAGGUACCACAUUCUGGAAAAUUUAUCAUAAAUUACUAUCAUGACUGAAAUUGCUAGCGUAGUUUUAAAAGGAUUAAGUUUGAUUGUACAAUCCGGAGGAUGCUGCUGGAAAUGCUACAAAAACAAAUAUUGUUUCUGUUGUCGUGAAAAGGAAAAUAAAGUUGGUGACAGCAAUAACGAUGAUGGUAAUGCCGAUAAGAACAAUGGUGAAAAAUCUAACAAGUCCACGACAAAAGAUGAGGUUAAAGAUGAAACUAACACUAAAGAUGAAGAUACGGAUAAAGAUGUGAAAAGUAGCAAGUAAAAGAGAAUGGCAUCAAGAGUAGACAGAUAACACUACCCAACUGGCUACUAAAUAAUAUGUUUCAAAAUCAUCUAGAAAAUAUUUUUCUUUUUAAAACUAUUCGAGUGCGUAAUAGUAAUACCAUGCCAUUUUCGGAAAUUAUGCCACUACAUUUAUGUCCUUCUGAAAUAUUUACAAAGUUUAUUGUAUAUCAUAAUAAAACAUUAAAAUAUUGAAAUUAAACUUUUAA